UACAGAGGGGGCAAGCGUUGUUCGGAAUUACUGGGCGUAAAGGGCGCGUAGGCGGUGAUGUAAGUCAGAUGUGAAAUCCCCGGGCUCAACCUGGGAACUGCAUUUGUGACUGCAUCGCUGGAGUGCGGCAGAGGGGGAUGGAAUUCCGCGUGUAGCAGUGAAAUGCGUAGAUAUGCGGAGGAACACCGAGGGCGAAGGGAAUCCCCUGGGCCUGCACUGAGGCUCAUGCACGAAAGCGUGGGGAGCAAACAAG
rnacentral:rRNA from 1 species